rnacentral:rRNA from 1 species
CCUUGUACACACCGCCCGUCACACCAUGGGAGUUGGGUCGACCCGAAGGCGCUGCGCCAACCCGGCAACGGGGGGCAAGCGACCACGGUCGGUUCAGCGACUGGGGUG